rnacentral:rRNA from 1 species
CCUACGGGGGGCUGCAGUGGGGAAUAUUGGACAAUGGGGGCAACCCUGAUCCAGCCAUGCCGCGUGUUGAAGAAGGCCCUCGGGUUGUAAAGCACUUUCAGUGAGGAAGAACGCCUGGUGGUUAAUACCCAUCAGGAAAGACAUCACUCACAGAAGAAGCACCGGCUAACUCCGUGCCAGCAGCCGCGGUAAUACGGAGGGUGCGAGCGUUAAUCGGAAUUACUGGGCGUAAAGCGCGCGUAGGUGGCUUGAUAAGCCGGUUGUGAAAGCCCCGGGCUCAACCUGGGAACGGCAUCCGGAACUGUCAAGCUAGAGUGCAGGAGAGGAAGGUAGAAUUCCCGGUGUAGCGGUGAAAUGCGUAGAGAUCGGGAGGAAUACCAGUGGCGAAGGCGGCCUUCUGGACUGACACUGACACUGAGGUGCGAAAGCGUGGGUAGCAAACAGGAUUAGAUACCCCAGUAGUC